GAUGAACGCUGGCGGCGUGCCUAAUACAUGCAAGUCGAGCGAACGGACGAGAAGCUUGCUUUUCUGAUGUUAGCGGCGGACGGGUGAGUAACACGUGGAUAACCUACCUAUAAGACUGGGAUAACUUCGGGAAACCGGAGCUAAUACCGGAUAAUAUUUUGAACCGCAUGGUUCAAAAGUGAAAGACGGUCUUGCUGUCACUUAUAGAUGGAUCCGCGCUGCAUUAGCUAGUUGGUAAGGUAACGGCUUACCAAGGCAACGAUGCAUAGCCGACCUGAGAGGGUGAUCGGCCACACUGGAACUGAGACACGGUCCAGACUCCUACGGGAGGCAGCAGUAGGGAAUCUUCCGCAAUGGGCGAAAGCCUGACGGAGCAACGCCGCGUGAGUGAUGAAGGUCUUCGGAUCGUAAAGCUCUGUUAUUAGGGAAGAACAUAUGUGUAAGUAACUGUGCACAUCUUGACGGUACCUAAUCAGAAAGCCACGGCUAACUACGUGCCAGCAGCCGCGGUAAUACGUAGGUGGCAAGCGUUAUCCGGAAUUAUUGGGCGUAAAGCGCGCGUAGGCGGUUUUUUAAGUCUGAUGUGAAAGCCCACGGCUCAACCGUGGAGGGUCAUUGGAAACUGGAAAACUUGAGUGCAGAAGAGGAAAGUGGAAUUCCAUGUGUAGCGGUGAAAUGCGCAGAGAUAUGGAGGAACACCAGUGGCGAAGGCGACUUUCUGGUCUGUAACUGACGCUGAUGUGCGAAAGCGUGGGGAUCAAACAGGAUUAGAUACCCUGGUAGUCCACGCCGUAAACGAUGAGUGCUAAGUGUUAGGGGGUUUCCGCCCCUUAGUGCUGCAGCUAACGCAUUAAGCACUCCGCCUGGGGAGUACGACCGCAAGGUUGAAACUCAAAGGAAUUGACGGGGACCCGCACAAGCGGUGGAGCAUGUGGUUUAAUUCGAAGCAACGCGAAGAACCUUACCAAAUCUUGACAUCCUUUGACAACUCUAGAGAUAGAGCCUUCCCCUUCGGGGGACAAAGUGACAGGUGGUGCAUGGUUGUCGUCAGCUCGUGUCGUGAGAUGUUGGGUUAAGUCCCGCAACGAGCGCAACCCUUAAGCUUAGUUGCCAUCAUUAAGUUGGGCACUCUAAGUUGACUGCCGGUGACAAACCGGAGGAAGGUGGGGAUGACGUCAAAUCAUCAUGCCCCUUAUGAUUUGGGCUACACACGUGCUACAAUGGACAAUACAAAGGGCAGCGAAACCGCGAGGUCAGGCAAAUCCCAUAAAGUUGUUCUCAGUUCGGAUUGUAGUCUGCAACUCGACUACAUGAAGCUGGAAUCGCUAGUAAUCGUAGAUCAGCAUGCUACGGUGAAUACGUUCCCGGGUCU
rnacentral:rRNA from 1 species